GAACCUACGGGGGGCAGCAGUGGGGAAUAUUGCACAAUGGGGGAAACCCUGAUGCAGCGACGCCGCGUGAAGGAAGAAGUAUUUCGGUAUGUAAACUUCUAUCAGCAGGGAAGAAAAUGACGGUACCUGACCAAGAAGCCCCGGCUAACUACGUGCCAGCAGCCGCGGUAAUACGUAGGGGGCAAGCGUUAUCCGGAUUUACUGGGUGUAAAGGGAGCGAAGACGGCAGGGCAAGUCUGGAGUGAAAGGCGGGGGCUCAACCCCCGGACCG
rnacentral:rRNA from 1 species